UUACGGCAAUAUCACAUUGAAACAGCGGUUCUCGUACGAUCACCGAAGUUAAGCAACGUUGAGCCUAGUCAAUACACAGAUAGCCUUUGGGAAUACCAGGUGCUGCAAG